GUUUAAAUAUAUGGCUGUCAGUGAGCUGCCCCUCGCUUAUCAUCCAUAAGCCCACCUUUCAGAAAGAUCUACCUUUUUGCCGUGUCUGAAGUCAGUAGGAGUUAGCCUUGUCAUCCUUUAUGAGAGCCCCAUCAUUGACUAUAACCCCAUGGUUGACUGCUGUGUUAUGCAGAACGAGGCAGGCUGCAAGGAUGUCAGAUGUGGUAUCGAGUCUGUGCUUUGACAAUUGGAAAAGACACCGAGAAUGAGAUUUCACAAUCCCAGAAGACCUUCGAGUGAUCAAUGAAUUCUGAGUAAGUGAACUAUUUUCCAACAAAUUCUUCUGCCACAGAACUGCAGGUUAAGUCCCGUGCUGCACCAUCAUCCAACCUGUUGCAAGUCUGGAGCUGGUUGUGGUUCACGUCCCAGGUGUGGAAGCCAUCCUUGCAAGGCAGUGCCAGGCUCAGUGUGCCCGUCUCUCUAAGCCUGGGGGAUCAGCCUGGCUCAGCUGCUGGCAGUGUGAGCAGAAGGACUUUUCCUUCUCCUGUGUACCCUAUUAUAUGAAGUAGUUUCUCUGGAGAAAUGAAUUGAAACUAGAUUUCCUCAAGCCCAUGUCCCAGAACGGUCAGCUGCCUGGUGGCCUGUAUAUUGUGGUCUUAAAAAACAGCAAGAACGACAACAAAAAGCAACAACGUAGGCUGAAUUUCAAGAGAAUUUUCACUGCUACUUUGCUGAGAAAGAACUGUCUUAUGUAG
rnacentral:lncRNA from 1 species